AUUGAACGCUGGCGGCAGGCCUAACACAUGCAAGUCGAGCGGAGCGGCGGACGGGUGAGUCAUGCCUAGGCAUCUGCCUGGUAGUGAGUGAUAACGUCCGGAAACGGGAGCUAAUACCGCAUACUAUCAGAUGAGACUAGGUGGGCUUAGCGAGUUGGUGGGGUACAGUCAUACCAAGGCGACGAUCCGUAACUGGUCUGAGAGGAUGAUCAGUCACACUAGAACUUAGACACGGUCCAGACUCCUACGGGAGGCAGCAGUGGGGAAUAUUGGACAAUGGGCGAAAGCCUGAUCCAGCCAUGCCGCGUGUGUGAAGAAGGUCUUCGGAUUGUAAAGCACUUUAAGUUGGGAGGCGUUACCAACAGAAUAAGCACCGGCUAACUUCGUGCCAGCCGCCGCGGUAAUUC
rnacentral:rRNA from 1 species